CCAGAGGAUCGGGCGACCGCGGGCAGCCUUGGCUGCGCGAGGAAAGUCCGGGCUCCACGAAACGACGGUGCCGGGUAACGCCCGGCGGGGGCGACCCCAGGGACAGUGCCACAGAGAGCAGACGGCGACCGCUUCGGCGACGCCACGGUGAAAGGGUGCGGCAAGAGCGCACCGCGCGACCGGUAACGGAAGCGGCAUGGUAAACCCCACCGGGAGCAAGACCGAAUAGGGGCGGCAUGGAACCUUCGCGGUUCCGGGGUGCGUUUCCACCCGCUGCCCGGGUUGGUUGCUGGAGGCGGCGCGCAAGCGUCGUCGUAGAGGAAUGGUCGCCCAUCCCCUUGGGGAGGACAGAACCCGGCUUACAGAUCCUCUGGCGUU
rnacentral:RNase_P_RNA from 1 species